rnacentral:lncRNA from 1 species
AGGUAAAUGGAGACUUUGAAAGAUUGCUGAGCAUCUUGCCAAGAGUCCUUCAGCUAGGGGUGACAUGGGGAUUUGAGUCCAGGUCUGAUUCUAAAGGCCACAGUCGUAUUACACAUCUCAACCUCAUGAAUGGGUUUCUUCUUGUGGCUGCUACCAAGACUUCAGGGUAAGAACAAGAUUGGAAUGUAGUAUAAGAAGGGUUUAACUGAGAUGAAGAUUGUAUGGGGAAGAAAGAAGUUGGAGAGCUU